rfam:Eggerthella sp. CAG:298, WGS project CBHI01000000 data, contig: 77
GGGGGCGACUGGUUUCGACAUGGUAGGUUGGAUAUGAAGAGCAGGUCGUGGUCUCCUCGCCACGUUAAACAGGGGUACUGUCAAAUUUAAUUGGCAAAGCUAAAACUCAGAGCGCUCCUGCGCUCGCCAUGGCUGCUUAAUCUAGCCAGGCUGUCAACCCAGGGUAUGUUUCCGGCCCUGGCGCGAUAUCAUCUUUAGGAGACUGCUGUCUCGUACGUCGUUGGUAUGACGAGACUCAAGACUGAACCAGCUAGGAUGCGUUAUUGUGUGUCGAUGCACGCGGCGUAUCCGAAACCUAAUCACCGACUAAGCUUGUAGUGCUUCAUUGAUGAUCUAGUAUGGACCGGAGUUCGACUCUCCGCGCCUCCACCA